rnacentral:rRNA from 1 species
UACGUAGGGGGCAAGCGUUAUCCGGAUUUACUGGGUGUAAAGGGGGCGCAGACGGCGAUGCAAGCCAGGAGUGAAAGCCCGGGGCCCAACCCCGGGACUGCUCUUGGAACUGCGUGGCUGGAGUGCAGGGGGGGCAGGCGGAAUUCCUAGUGUAGCGGUGAAAUGCGUAGAUAUUAGGAGGAACACCAGUGGCGAAAGCGGCUCUCUGGUCUGUAACUGACGCUGAGGUUCGAAAGCGUGGGUAGCAAACAGG